rnacentral:rRNA from 1 species
GUCUUCUUGAUUAUACUUUGAAGUCUGUCCUGCUCACUGAUAAUUAAUUAAAGAGCCGCGGUACUUUGACCGUGCGAAGGUAGCAUAAUAAUUAGUCUCUUAAUUAGAGGCUUGUAUGAAUGGAUUGACGAGAAAUAUACUGUCUCUUAAUAAAUAAUAAAAUUUAACUUUUGAGUUAAAAGGCUUAAAUUAACCUUAAGGACGAGAAGACCCUAUAGAGCUUUACAUAUUAUUUUAAUAUAUUUUUUUGAUUGUCUUUUUAUAUUAAUUGUUUAUGUUUUGUUGGGGUGACAUAAAGAAUAAAUAAACUCUUUAUUAUAAAAUCAUUAAUUUAUGUUUAGUUGAUCCAUAAUUUAUGAUCAUAAGAUAAAGUUACCUUAGGGAUAACAGCGUAAUCAUUUUUUAGAGAUCAAAUCGACAAAGUGGAUUGCGACCUCGAUGUUGGAUUAGGGUAAAUUUUGGGUGCAGAAGCUCAUAAAUUAGGUCUGUUCGACCUUUAAAUUCCU